AGAAGCACAAGGCUGCCGUGGCUCAGGCUUCCCGGGACCUGGCUCAGAUAAAUGAUCUCCAAGCUCAGCUAGAAGAAGCCAACAAAGAGAAGCAGGAGCUGCAGGAGAAGCUACAAGCCCUCCAGAGCCAGGUGGAGUUCCUGGAGCAGUCCAUGGUGGACAAGUCCCUGGUGAGCAGGCAGGAAGCUAAGAUACGGGAGCUGGAGACACGCCUGGAGUUUGAAAGGACGCAAGUGAAACGGCUGGAGAGCCUGGCUAGCCGUCUCAAGGAAAACAUGGAGAAGCUGACUGAGGAGCGGGAUCAGCGCAUUGCAGCCGAGAACCGGGAGAAGGAACAGAACAAGAGGCUACAGAGGCAGCUCCGGGACACCAAGGAGGAGAUGGGCGAGCUUGCCAGGAAGGAGGCCGAGGCGAGCCGCAAGAAGCACGAACUGGGGAAAAGCUAGCCUUCCUGCAAACUGGGCUGCCCCCUUCCUCCUAGGAGAUGGAUCUAGAAAGCCUGGAGGCUGCUAACCAGAGCCUGCAGGCUGACCUAAAGCUGGCAUUCAAGCGCAUUGGGGACCUGCAGGCCGCCAUCGAGGAUGAGAUGGAGAGUGAUG
rnacentral:sRNA from 1 species